GUGUUUUGCUAGUUAAGGGCAAAGCACUCUGUAAACAUUAAUUAACUUUCACAAGAUUAUGAGAAGCUCAUUUUUCUGAGGAAACACCCAGAGGACAGAGAUCUUUAGCAAGGUCACACACACAUCAUCAUCUGCUCUGGGAGAAGAUCCUCAAGAGGAGGGGAAGAGCCUGAAUGGGGAGGUAGAGCAGACAGCUAAAGUGGCUGCUGAGCACAGGAGGGGAGAAGCCUUUUGCUGGGCCAAGAAGAGGAGAACUGCCUCAGGGACAGCGGAGAUCAAGGAGUGGACUGCAAGAUACACUCAGGAACAAUUAUAGCAGACCAGGCUGUAGGCAGCACAUGAUGGAUGGAUGGGCUGAGACAGCGAGAUCGCAUAAGCUGCAUUCCCCUGGGAAACCAGACUGAAAACACAUAAGCAGAGAGGCAGUCUGACAACAAGGCAUCUGACAUGGAAGUGUGGAUGAAGCAAAAGUGUGUCACUGAAUUCCUCCAUGUGGAAAAGAUGGCACCCACUGACAUUCACUGAAGCUUGAUGUAUGUUUAUGGAGACCAAACGCGCUCCCUACAAGAUUCCUUACAACAGAUGUUAUGACGCACUUGGAGGAACGUGAACCAAAUUGUAGGCAAAGUUUCCCUGGCUCUUCUCCAGCAGCUCAUACCAUUGAUGUGGCAGUAAAGUGUGCAACAGCCCUGCUUGUUGUGCUGCUGGCAGGAGCCUCAUGAACUCAGCAUCCUCCUGGGAGCAAGCGGGACGCUGGGCACUGCAGUGAGAAGAUAAAGCAGUGAAAUGGCUCUGAGGGUUCCAGAAAGUAGCUCCCACAG
ensembl:lncRNA